rnacentral:rRNA from 1 species
GAUGAACGCUGGCGGCGUGCCUAAUACAUGCAAGUCGAGCGAACGGACGAGAAGCUUGCUUCUCUGAUGUUAGCGGCGGACGGGUGAGUAACACGUGGAUAACCUACCUAUAAGACUGGGAUAACUUCGGGAAACCGGAGCUAAUACCGGAUAAUAUUUUGAACCGCAUGGUUCAAAAGUGAAAGACGGUCUUGCUGUCACUUAUAGAUGGAUCCGCGCUGCAUUAGCUAGUUGGUAAGGUAACGGCUUACCAAGGCAACGAUGCAUAGCCGACCUGAGAGGGUGAUCGGCCACACUGGAACUGAGACACGAUCCAGACUCCUACGGGAGGCAGCAGUAGGGAAUCUUCCGCAAUGGGCGAAAGCCUGACGGAGCAACGCCACGUGAGUGAUGAAGGUCUUCGGAUCGUAAAACUCUGUUAUUAGGGAAGAACAUAUGUGUAAGUAACUGUGCACAUCUUGACGGUACCUAAUCAGAAAGCCACGGCUAACUACGUG